AAACGAAGUAAGUUGACGAUGUCAAAUGGAAGUUGGUGUAAAUCCAACGCGGUCCCGCCACUGUAAGAAGUAUGCGUACUUUAAGCCAGGUCUUUUUGCAUCGUCACUGUUACGGACUGUUUCGAGGUAAAACAGGAUGUUUUUU
rnacentral:sRNA from 2 species